UCUAUUCGGAACGUUAAACUGUAAGCGUGUUAGUAAGUGCUGGCUAUCUACAUCACCACCCUGCAGUACCAAAAAAUCACUAAGGAAAAUAUUCCUCAACGAUAGAGAGGGACACACUGAGAAAAGAGUGAGAUGCAACGUCUUUAAAAACAAUAGAAAAUGCAAAGACAGUCGAUGAGAGAAAAAAAUUCUCUCAGCAAAAGUCAUAUUAUUGUCAAUCGCAGUCUACGCGCGAUUCCUUGAUAGCUUAGAGGCUUGCAUGUUGGUCUAUUAAACAAAAGCACGGAGGUUCGAAUCCCAGUCCAGGCGAAAGUAAGUAAAAAUAAUACAAUGUAGUUUAUGAUAUUUGUAAAAUGUUUCUUAACAUUUAAACUCGUUUACGAUUUGCGAAAACAAAUUAAUACAUAAAAACAUUGGUGUGGUGGGUUUCUAAAAAUAGACAAUGAUUUUUUUUCAAAAUGUCUUUCCAGGGAUUUUUUUGCAAAAAAUGACCAAGGAGUUCUUUGAUGAGUUCUUUGCAAAGAAUACCAAAUACCUUCCCUAGGAUUUCUUUGCAGGUAUUCCUGGGGAAAUUCCCUAACCAGUUAGGGAGAAAAUUCCCCAGGUCACCGAUGCAUAGGACAUCCCAUACAAAAAUUCCUUAACGAAUUUCAUAUACCAGCACUGGGGAAUUCCUAAUGCAUGGUGAGCAGGUAAUGGAGAGUUCCACAAGGAACUCCUCAACACUGGAACUGCAGGGCAUUAAUAAGGUUGUUUAGGGUUGUCUCUCACUCUUUUCUCAGUGUGUCCCUCUCUAAUGCUGAGGAAUAUUUUCCUUAGUGAUUUUUUGGUACUGCAGGGAGCUGAUCAAGAAUAUACAUAUAAUUUUUUUCGCGCGGCUCUCCCUACAUAUGUACGUACAACCCACCUCCCGUUUAACCGACCGAUGGGCGCUGCUGCAUGGAUCGAUUCGCGGAGAUAGAAAAGUUAAUGGGAAAGAAUUUCUGCGCUCUCGUAAGAAAUUAAGAACCAUCUGUUUAAGAUUUAAAACAGAGAAAUGCGAUAUAAUGCGGUAGGGCAUAUACAUACAUAAGUCAGACUAUUUUGGCUAAAGAACGGUGGGCUAAAAUUUCUAGUCCUUCUAAUAUUGAAUAUAUAGAUAUAUGUAUGUACAUACAUAUAUGAUGAAGCAUACGUAUAUACAUUUACACGAAUCUCGACCUAGUAUUCAGAUCGAAAAA